GAUGCAAUUAAUGAGAAUAGCCCUUUGAUAGCGAUGGAUUAUUAAUGUCAGAUUACUAAGUGUGGAAAACUUUUCUCGAACCACCAAUUGCUUGCUCAAUUGGUAUCACACAUUGCCACUUAGUUAAGGUGCAGUGGGGGUUUAAUUCUGGCUGGAUCCACCACCCCAGGGUGGGGUAAAUAUAGUGUAGAACAGGUGGGGAUUAGCCUCUCCUAAUCUCAAAAGAAAAAAAAAAAAGUCUUGAACAGUUAUUGCUAAUUUAUCAACAAAGCCAUGUUCUUUUAAUUAGCAGCUACUUUAGUCAAUUUUAUGAGCGAAAAAAGAAAUAAUUGAUUACGCAUCUAUUAGCAAGGUAUAUCUAGUCAUAAUAUAUCAAACUCUCAUAAAACAACCUUCCAAAUAAACACGAAUUACUGGGAUCCAGUAGACCACUGGCUAAAAUUUAAUACACUCAAGCAGUUUCAAAUUUAAUACGCCCAAGCAGCUUCUCGUCUUGAAGUUGAAUGAACUAGGUAUCUUUCCCUUAAAUGGUUAAGAGGCAUGUGGCACUUCUUUGAUCAACUGGAAUCUCUGCAUUGCCUAGAAGCUAGUAGCAUUCGAAACAUCUCUAUUGCAAAAGAACUUGAAACCAUCUCCCAGAUCUCAAGAUUUCAUUUUAAAAUGUGAAAGAACUGACAACCUAGUUUCUU
rnacentral:lncRNA from 1 species